ensembl:lncRNA
CUGCGUGCUCUCUCUGUUGGCUGGCCCUCUAAGCCCUGCGUGCUCAGUUUAGGCUUUGCCUUUCUAGCUGCUCCCUCAUCCGGUCCCUCUCCUGCCUCCUUCCCUCCCUCCCCUGUGUCUUGACUGUGGUGCUCAGCACACCAAGCUGAAAUUCUUGGUCCACGUGAUUCUCCCCCACAUACAGCCACAAGUUUCUUCUGGGCAGAAACUGUCUUGUUCAUCUGUGAAUCACCAGGUCCCAGGGCGAUGCUCACCACAGAGCUGGUGCAUGGGGCCAACUGUUAGAAGCUUGCUGAAUGAAUAAAGGAACCCACAAAUGGAAAGGACCAACUCCACAGGCCUCAACACAGACAUGCACCACCUUCCCAUCUCAUUCCUCCUGUGCUGAAGUCGUCACAGAGGACGGGCGACAGGACCCCUGUCUUGCAGUACAUGUUAGAAGGCUCUUGGGCCUGUGUGAUGCCUCAGCCUGUAAAGUUGCUUGCUGCCAAGCUUGAGGGACCCACAUAACGGGAGGAGAGAAUCGGCUCCCACAAAAUGUUCUGUGACCUCCACAACUUCAUUGGGGGCAUGCAUCCUCCAUACAUAGAAUAAAUUAAAAUGCAAUUUUUAAAAAGAAGGCUCUGUGUGCAGCUUGGCGCGCUAACCUUUACCCUCACUGGUCACAAAGGGAGGUGAUUAUACUCAGCUUAGCUGAGACCACAGGGGGCCAGGGAGGGAAGCAGCUCACCUUGGGUCACACAGGAUUUGCUGAGUCUGAGCUUUUUUGCUCUUUGGGAGCUGAUUGGAAGGGAGAAGGCGGCCCACCUUCGUGGUUUGUAACCUCGGGUGGGUCCUUUGUCCUGCCUGGGAGAGUAGGGCAGUGCGGAACCGCUUGCUCUGCGCAGGCUCCGAGCCUCCUCGCCCGUUCCCCCACUGCAGAUCCCCAUGAGUUCCUCUCCAGAGCAUUCACUGAGUAGGUUGCUAGUGGAAAUGUGGUUUUCAAAUUUGGGAAAUCUCCAUUAAGUCCUUUUAUUUAAGGAGGAUGUCAUUAUCACGCCUCCCCGAGGACUAUUACGGUUCUAUUAGGCAAGGCCGCAGACUUCCUAGGUACUGUCUGGGGUCUGAUUCCUGGGCAGGAAAAUACGAGACAGGAAGAGGGGGGGGCAGGGAGUGGGAGAGAGAAAACGGGAUGCGGAGCGGGCAGGAGAGAGGAGAGGAGAGGGAUGAAGAAUCGCAGAGUGCAAGAGGGAGCCUGAAAGGCGCGAGGCAGAGGUGGAUGCAGUACAGAUAGAAGCCAGAAGAGGGCAUCAGAUCCUCCUGGCACCUUAUAUGGGUGCUGGGAACUGAACCCUGCAAGAGCAGCAAGUUCUCUUAACUGCUGAGCGGUUUCUCCUGCCCUUGAAACAUCGUUUUGGAAGGACACUCUCAAGCUAUAUUUUGCUGUGCUGGGUAGGGCCUGAAUCCAGGGCCUCGAAUUUGUAUGACAAGCACUCAAGCUCAGACCUGGAAUCCUGACCAUUCAUUCAUUCAUUCAUUCAUUCAUUCAUUUUUUUGUAUAUUGUUUGUUUUGAGAUGAAGUUUCACUAUAUAGCCCUGGCAAUCUGGAAUUCACCGUGUAGUCCAAACUGACGAGGAGCUUGCAGAGAUCCUGCUGUCAUUGCCUUCUCCAGUGCUGAGAUUACAGUUCUGGACCACGACACCCUCAUCCUGAGAUCCUCUUCUACAUCCAUUACCAUCUGUUGACUGCUGGUUUGAGCAAGGAGAAGUGAUUUCUGGGCCAGUGGAGGAUUGAGAAAAGCAGACGGAGAACUGGAAAGGGAGUAGGGCUGGGGCAGAUCCGUGGAGGAGAAGGCUCUGUAGGUAUGAGUGGACCCCGUCAGCCCUGCCUCCCUGAAAAGCAGAGCUGUGCAUUUGGGCUGAGAGUAGGAUGAAUGCCCUGGGCUCUCUGGUCCAUUGAUCACAGCCAGUUUCCUGUCCCUGUCUCUCUCCCCUUGGUUACCCAUCUUCCACAGGUGCAUCCGUCUGCAGCAUUACAUGUGUCACAGUUGCUUUUGGUCUUGCUUGCUCCUCUGGCCCACUGAAAUAAUUAGAAUGAAAAUUUCAAUUAUAAUGCCACCAGAUGCUCUGUUAAUAAGAGAGGUCUCAGACAAUGUCCACGGAUGUCAUCUUCCACCCUUGUUGGUUUCUAAUUCUCUCUGCUUCGAGAGAUAGGCUGGGGACUGGUGAGCCGGCAAGAGGAUGUGGGAGAGGAGGAAUUUCAUGGACAAUGGAAGAGUGAAUUCAGGCGGGAGUUUUCUUGGAGGUUCAUAGGUGGAAGUUUAAGAUGAAGAAAGGCAGAGCACCUGUGUGAAGCAGGUCCUAGAGGUAGGGCACCAUCCAGCUGCUGGGCCAGGAGCUUUUUUUCUUUAAAAAUUUUUAUUAUAUUUGUUUAUUUACUUAUUGGGGUGUGUGCCACAGCACACAUGUGGAAGCCUUCUCAGAAUGUCCUGACAGAGCUGUCUACACUCAAUGCCUCUACUUCCUCCUUCUCACGAUUCCUCAACCCUUCCCCCCCAGUAUUCCAUGGAAAAGGAUGUGGUAGUUCCUGCUGUUUUUCUGCUGCUACCUCGGAAUAACACAGACUGGGUAAUUUAUAAAGAAUAAAGGCUUGUCCCGGAGAGCUGUUUUGGUUAUAAAGUGAUCAUUGCCCAAACGUGAGGACUUGAAUUGGAUGCCCCAGAACCAAGAAGUGGCAUGCACUUGUAAUACCAGCACUGGGGGCCCUGGCCAGAUGGAUGGGAUCCCUGGACUCAGUGGCCUGCGAGCCCAGCCUAGUCCACGAGCUGCAGGACCGUGAGAGUCACUGUCUGAAAAAAACAAGGUGCUCCCAGAGGCCAGAAGAAGGUCAUCAAAUCUCCGGGAGCUGGAGUAACAGGCAGUUGUGAGCCACCUAAUGAAGAUACCUGGAAGUGAACUGAGGUCCUCUGCAAGAGCAGUUUAUGCUCUUAACCACAGAGCCCUCUCUCCAGCUCCGAGACUCAUUUCCUGCACCCAUCCUCUGUGGCCACUCACCUGGAGUUCUUCUCAUACUCUCUACCCAGGCAGCUCAUGGACCCAGGUUCCUGCCUUGACUCCCUUUGAUGAUGGCCUGUGUUGCGGAACUGUAAGCUGAGACAAGUCCUUUCCUUCCCAAGUUGCUUUUGGUCAUGGUGUUCUGUUACAGAAACAGAAACCCCAAGACAGUGGGUAAAGGCAUUU